GUGUCCUGCCAGAAACAGCUGACUCUGUUUUCGUCUGCGUCGCCUACAUCGAUUUCUUUGUGAGAAUUUGGAAACUUUUUACUCAAUUUCUUGCUACUUUUUUUAUUUGCGGGGGUGUCCAAGAAUCUGUACAUGUAUCUAACUUUUCCGCAGGUACUGGACUGGAUAAUAUAUGUCUGGGGUGCCGAGAAAGCGAGUUCGUAGUUCAAUUCUGGACGAUAUGCUCCAGGAGGAGGACCAAUCUGCAACUUUGGAACACAGUGCACGUAAGGCGAUGAAGUUGCAGAAAGGACGAAGAACAGGGCGGGGAGGAACCCCCAGGAGCUCAACUACUUCUCCUGCUGGGAUGGGGGAGUCAGGGGAGAAUUCAGCAGAAGAAGGAGAGUAUGUUCCAAAUUCAGAUUUGGAUCCGGCCUUCCUAAGGAAAAUCAAGACAAGACGUGAUUUAUCAAAGACGGACCAAGAGGUUGUUAGACUAAUUGGACAGCAUCUCAGUGACUUAGGAUUAAAGAGUGCUAGUGAUGUACUGAUGAAAGAGUCUGGGUGUAGACAGGAUGAUCCCUCUAGUUCCACCUUCAGACACUGUAUCAUGAAAGGGGACUGGGCCGGAGCGGUUAACGUUUUGGAUGAUCUGAAGCAUCAUUUGGAGAGUCCUGACACAGUCAAGGAGAUGAAAUUUAUCAUACUAGAACAAAAAUAUAUUGAAUAUUUACGCGAUGGGAAAACAUUUGAGGCUCUGAAGGUGUUGCAGAUGGAUAUCAGCCCCUUGAACCACAACAUACCCCGGACCCAUCAUCUCUCCUCCCUCCUCAUGCUCCCCAUCAACGGACUGAUAAUAAGUAAUCGACAAUCUGAGAGUAGAAGCCAUAAUUCUCCGUUUACAAACAAUAACUCUGAGUCUGAUCAUCUGCCUAAAAUACUGGACAGGGAAGAGGUGAUGGAGAAACUUCAAUCCUUCCUUCCUCCCAGUGUCAUGUUGCCACCCAGAAGACUCCAGACCCUACUAAGUCAAGCAGUUGCUCAUCAGAAGGAACACUGUAUUUAUCAUAACAGACUCGGAGAUAAUGAACCCCCCAAGGUGUUAUCAGUGGACCAUCAAUGUAGUAAGGAAACCUUCCCAUCAGAGACUCUUCAGGUUUUGAGUGAGCAUGGGGACGAAGUCUGGUUCUGUAAAUGGUCACCAAAUGGAAAGCUCUUAGCAACUGGAAGCAAGGACUGUACAGUAAUUAUCUGGAAGCUUGAUACAAAUACACUCAAACUCAAAAGUGAAAAGGUACUGGAUGGACAUUCUCAUGGAGUCUCCUACUUCUCCUGGUCCCCAGACUCUAGUAAACUGGCAGUAUGUGGGCCCGAGGAGUGCCCAGAUGUUUAUAUCUGGGAUAUAGCUGGAGGAAGAAUAGAGAACAAGAUAUCUCACACCCAAGAGGAUUCUUUAACGACUGUAUCCUGGUCUCCUGAUGGUACAAGGCUAGCUGCAGGGGGGAGCAGGGGUCAGUUUUACCAGUUUGAUUCCCAUGGAAACAUAAACAAUUCAUGGGAAGGUGUACGAGUUCAAGCUUUAGCAUACAGAUCUGACGGUAAACACAUCCUGGCUGCCGAUACACACCAUAGACUCAGAUGUUACAACUUUGAUGAUCUCUCUGACCAGCCAAUUAUUCAGGAGGAUCAAGCUAUUAUGUCUUUCACACUAGACCAGACUGACCGCUACGCGCUGUUGAACAUUGCCAACCAAGGAGCACAUUUGUGGGAUAUCAAGGACCGCUGUCUGGUUCAGAAGUUCAAGGGGAUCACGCAGGGGUUCUACACAAUAUAUUCAAGUUUUGGUGGAUCUAACCAAUCAUUUAUUGCCUCCGGAUCCGAGGAUAUGAAGGUUUAUAUCUACCACGUGGACCGACCUGACCCUAUCCAAGAGCUGAGUGGUCACACUAGAACUGUUUCCUGCGUCUCCUGGAAUCCUGUUUACCACCAGUUAAUUGCUUCUGCCUCUGAUGACAAUACUGUUCGUAUCUGGGGCCCUGCAGAGAAAUACAGAAAUCAAUCAUUCAAGAGACAAUAACUGUCCGUUGUCUCCUUCAAGAGACAAUAAGCUGUCAGUUGUCUCCUUCAAGAGACAAUAAGCUGUCAGUUGUCUCCUUCAAGAGACAAUAAGCUGUCAGUUGUCUCCUUCAAGAGACAAUAAGCACGCACGCUAAACGCGAGCAAAAUAAUAAACUCCAACUUCAAGUGAUGUAAAAUAAAUUUAAGUACAGAUGUGCUACCUUCGUAUUAUAUAGCAUCUAGAAAAUAAUGUAGACAUAAUAAACAAAUGUGGGAUCAGGAGCACUUUUCCUAUACAAAUUAAAGACCCACGUUUUCGUAUAUUUUUUUUUUUUAGUAAAAUUUUAGUUUUAAGUUUUGCUCCCAUUUUUAGUUUUUUUUAGUUUAAUUUGUUCUUAACAAUUCUUUCUAUUCAAGUUAAAAGUGUUGUUGGGAUGCCUUUUACCAUUUUUGUUUAACCAUUGAUUAAAUAGUACUGAUUAAACAUUGUAAAAUUACAUAAAUUUGAUAUGUAAAGAUUUUAUUCCAUUUUCUGCACUAUCGGGAUAGUUUCAUCAAAAUCAGAUGUAUAUUUUUGUUUUCAAGAAUUGGCUACAAAAAAAUUAUUUCUAAACUUGCCUGAAGAACACUCAAAUUGAUUUCAAAAACUUCCCGAAUGGCAGCUAUAAAUUAUGAAUAAAUUAAUACCUUUUGAUUUUUAUUUGUUAAAUUUAA
rnacentral:misc_RNA from 1 species